UAACGCGUGAGAAUCUGCCUUCAGGUUGGGGACAACAGUUGGAAACGGCUGCUAAUACCCAAUGUGCCGAGAGGUGAAAGCUUUAGUGCCUGAAGAUGAGCUCGCGUCUGAUUAGCUAGUAGGUGCGGUAAUGGCGCACCUAGGCGACGAUCAGUAACUGGUCUGAGAGGAUGACCAGUCACACUGGGACUGAGACACGGCCCAG
rnacentral:rRNA from 1 species